AGGCUCUCUGUGGGAGUCCCCUCUGAACUGCAGCCACACUGAGUCCCCUCUGAACUGCAGCCACACUGCCCUCUACUUGAUGAGUACUCCAUGGUCAGACACUCAGAUGCAACCACAAAGGAACGGUGAGCGAACGAGAAGGCCCAGGAUGCAGAAUUUCGGGAGGCGCUCACAGUCCUGCUCCUGCAAGAGUGGGGUCAGCAUCUGAGAGCAGGUGACUCGUUCCCCUCACCUUGGGCCCGCCCUGCUGAAAGUGACCAUGGGAACGUGGUGCCGUGCAGAUCCCAGCUACCGGUGACUCCACAAUGGCCUCUGCCCUUGGGACCACUGUCUCCUAAAACAGGACUGAAGCCUGGAACGACACUGGACGCAAAAGGUACAAAAAUCCUAGAUGCCACCAGGUCAAGAGCUUGCAAGGGGCCAGAGGACCUUCUUGAGGGCUGACCCUGGAGCCCGACUGCAGGAAGAGGGGUGCACUGGGUAGAAAGGGUUAGGGGCAUGCAGUCCACGGAAGCAUGCCCACGUGGUGUAUUGUGGGCACUCCUCCUCCGUAAGUGGGGGGCGGGGGUCAAGCAGGGAAGUGCAUUAGGAUCUGAGACUCUAUCGGGGGCACGAAAGGAGCCUUGGAGAGGUUCAGCCAGACUAGACAGACCCUCUGGGAGAAUCCUUCUGAUGCCCUGUAGAUGAGGGUGGGGUUAGCCUAAAGGCAGAGAGCUGAGUUAGGUCCCGCAGUCAUCUAUUCAUAUAAAAUCAUUCGUUACAAAUAGCACCGUGUGUGCCCCUCAGGUUCUUGGUGCCGUUUUGAUUCAUGUCACAGAUUCAUCUACAUGCUUGCAAUAGAGUCACUGGACUACGAGAAUCUUCCUUUAAAUCAUACAUUCACCCAGCCAGUAUUAAUCCAGAAUCCCCCAUGUGGCCAAUGCUGGGGACCCAAUGGCAAGCUGAGAGUUGAGUGGAAGAGACGUCAUGCACACUGUAUAACAGGUGCCUUGAAGGAAGAGCCCCAGAUGCCUGGGAAGCAUGUCAUGAGGAGUCCAGUCUGGUCUGGGGGAUGGGAGUCAGUCCAGGAGGUGACUUUGGAGUUGAAGUCUGAAGGAGGACUUGGUAUUAAACUACACAAAAUGGAGAGGGAGGAUCCUAGGUGAAGGAAGCAGCUUGUGCAAAGGCCCUGUGGUAGGGAAGAAUAUGGCAUAUUUGAGAAGUUAGAAAAACCGAGAGGGAGAGGAGGAGGGCAGUGAAGGAUAAGGGGAGAAAAAGAGGGCCAGGACUGCCUUGCACAGUGCCAACUCCUUGCAAGCAUUUGAAGUUACUUUUUUUUUUUUAAUUUUUUUUUUAAUGUUUAUUUAUUUUUGAGACAGAGA